rnacentral:piRNA from 2 species
UAUGGGGUAUGGUUAUGAUGAAUCCGA